GUCCUUGCCGUAAACGAUGUGUACUUGAUGUAGUUGGGCUCAACCCCGACUGUGUCGUAGCGAACGCGAUAAGUACACCGCCUGGGGAGUACGCCCGCAAGGGUGAAACUCAAAAGAAUUGACGGGGACCCCGCACAAGCAGUGGAGUAUGUGGUUUAAUUCGAUGCAACGCGAAGAACCUUACCUAGGCUUGACAUACAAGAGAUUGCGUCAGAGAUGACGAGUCCCCGCAAGGGGCUCUUGAACAGGUGCUGCAUGGCUGUCGU
rnacentral:rRNA from 1 species